rnacentral:rRNA from 1 species
UGAACGAGCAAUGCCGCGUGAGUGAGGAAGGUCUUCGGAUCGUAAAGCUCUGUUGUAAGAGAAAAACGGCACUCAUAGGGAAUGAUGAGUGAGUGAUGGUAUCUUACCAGAAAGUCACGGCUAACUACGUGCCAGCAGCCGCGGUAAUACGUAGGUGGCGAGCGUUAUCCGGAAUGAUUGGGCGUAAAGGGUGCGUAGGUGGCAGAUCAAGUCUGGAGUAAAAGGUAUGGGCUCAACCCGUACUGGCUCUGGAAACUGAUCAGCUAGAGAACAGAAGAGGACGGCGGAACUCCAUGUGUAGCGGUAAAAUGCGUAGAUAUAUGGAAGAACACCGGUGGCGAAGGCGGCCGUCUGGUCUGGAUUCUGACACUGAAGCACGAAAGCGUGGGGAGCAAAUAGGAUUAGAUACCCUAGUAGUCCACGCCGUAAACGAUGAGAACUAGGUGUUGGGGGAAUAACUCAGUGCCGCAGUUAACGCAGUAAGUUCUCCGCCUGGGGAGUAUGCACGCAAGUGUGAAACUCAAAGGAAUUGACGGGGGCCCGCACAAGCGGUGGAGUAUGUGGUUUAAUUCGACGCAACGCGAAGAACCUUACCAGGUCUUGACAUUGAUCGCGAUCUGCAGAAAUGCGGAGUUCUUCUUCGGAAGACGAGAAAACAGGUGGUGCACGGCUGUCGUCAGCUCGUGUCGUGAGAUGUUGGGUUAAGUCCCGCAACGAGCGCAACCC